UCAUGUGAAUUCAAAAUCUUACUCAGUUAAAUUCAGUUGUUUGCAAUCUUAAACUGGAAAGGCUUUGUAUGUUAUCCUUUUUAUUUAUGAAUAAUUUCAAAGGCACAUCACUUAUUGGAUAGCUUUCUGUUCACAAUUCCAAACCAAAAUAUACGAGUCUCAGGCAACUCUGACACUACAAAUACCUUGAUGUUGUACUGCUUCAUACAGAUACUAAAUGAAUAUUUGUUUAAUGAAUGAAUAUAGAAAAUCAGUUGGAUUAAAUUAGUGAUCAUAUCAUCUUGCACUUGUAUAUUGCUUUACAAUCCAUAAAGUGCUUUCACAUUUAUCCUCUUAAAGAAGAAAUUAACUCAGUACGCUAGAUCCUACUUUAAAGCUUUGGAGUUACCAAAUUUGUCCUCAGCCUGAAGUGAAAACAAUAGUAGAAAUGUGCUAAGAAGUGUGAAUAAUUAGAAGAACAAAACAAAACAGAAACAAUAACAUGUACAUAAAAAGCUUAAUAAAAUAAAAUUGAACCAGAAAGGAAAACUGUGGUUUAAAUGAUUGUCCUACUAUUAUUUUUAUAUAAUCUAGGGCAGAGUUGAUCCCUAAGCCAGCAUUCCACAUCCAAGGAAUGUUUACUCUUACGUGUAUGAAUAUGUGCAUGUGCAAAGACAUACACAGGUGUGUGUACUGCAGCUUCACUAUUCUUCCUAGAAAUCUAUCCAGGAAAACUAGAGAAUCAUACAUUUUUACAGUAGAGCUUUGCUGCAGGCAUCCAAGAUGGCAGCCAUUCACAUAACCAGACAAUGGAAUCUUAUUUUUUCCUAGUUGGAGCCAUGGAUCUAGCUGAAUGUCAGUAAUAAUAGUGAUCACCUGUGCUCCCAGAUAGUCAACUAAGGACCUCCAAACAGAUCCCAUCAUGCAACCCUCUUUCUUUGCUAAGGCUGUGGAUGACAAAAAGGAAUUCCUUCCUUGAGGAAUGAGAGGAAGCUCAGUUCAGUUCCUGGACACCCCAGCUCUCAUUUUUGUCCCAAGAGCUCAGACAUCAGUCCUGAUCUUAAACUGCUGUGCAUGCUAAGACAUCUCCCAGAGAAGAGCAUUUCAAAUGCUGUAUGAGCUGAGGGAUGCUACCUGCACUGUGGAAGCAAAUUGACCAAAUUAUGUUCAGGCUACAAGUUCCAGGCUGAUUUUUCUGGAUUAUGGUCCCCAUUCGCAGUUCAGUUUUUAAGGCCCAGUGUGUGCACCAGCCAGUGGACUACCAUACAUGCGAAGAGUUGACUUAUUGGAAAAGACUCUGAUGCUGGGAGGGACU